CUGCCCUUGAACAUCAGACUCAAAGUUCUUCAGUUUUGGAAAUCAGACUGGCUCUCCUUGCUACUCAGACUGCAGAUGGCCUAUUGUGGGACCUUGUGAUCAUCUAUCACCGAUUCACCCUGGGUGGGUAACUGACUCAGAAGACGUUAUCAGAGCUCUUCUCCAAGACUUAUUCAACAGGAACCAGUGAAGAAGAUCAAUGUCUCUGACAAAAAAACUAUGUGUUGUAAGGCUCGGGGCUCCUCUCUGCCCAUUUUUCCCGCUGAAAGAGGGAAGCUGAUAUAAGAGUGCUGCUGUUCAGAAGUCUGAGCUGGAUGUGUAGUUGGUCAUCGUCAGCAUACAGAGGAUAACUGAAGCCACGUGUGGGAGGGAAGAUCACCAACUGGGACACAGAUGCUGAAAAGAAGGCAGCCAAGAAUGAACUCUGAGAAAAGCCAACAUUUAAGGAGUGGAUACGAGAAGAGGCAUUGUGAGCUAGACUGAAAAGGAAUGGCCAGAGUUUUGCAAAUGUAAUCAGAAGUGCAUCAUGAAAACCAACAAAGGGAGCAGUUUCAACAAAUAGGGAUGAUCAGCAACAACCUAAAAUAUUACAGAGAGAUCUAGCAAUACAAGUAUUUCAAAUUGUUCUUCAGAUGUAACAAUAUAUCCAAGUUACUGCACUUUCUUUAACCUUCUAAGAAAGAUGGCAUGUCGCAAGUUUCUUCGCACCGUGAUCUCGCUGACUUCAGGAGUGAACCUGCAGACCUUCGCAGUGAGUGUUACAGCUCUUACAUGCAACGCAUCUGCAGUUGCUCGUCCCUCCCAGCGGGUUCCUCGCUGGCCACAAGAGUGAAGCUACAAACUUUCGUGGUGAGUGUUACAGCUCAUAAAAGCUGUGCAAACCCAAAGAGCACGCACCAGCAAAAUUCAGCACAAAGAGGAAAAGAACAACACUUACACACCACAAAAAGGAACCCCAACCUGUUGCAGCCGCUGGCUCCGGCAGCCUGCUUUUAUUCCCUUAUUUGACCCCACCCACAUCCUACUGAUUGGUCCAUUUUACAGAGAGCUGAUUGGUCCAUUUUACAGAGAGCUGAUUGGUCUGUUUUGACAGGGUGCUGAUUGGUGUGUUUACAAACCUUGAGCUAGACACAGGGUGCUGAUUGGUGCAUUUACAAUCCUCCAGCUAGACAUAAAUGUUCUCCAAGACCCCACCCAACUCAGGAACCCAGCUGGCUUCCCUAGGGGAUCCAGGCGCUGGGGCCCUGGGUGGAGCUGCUUGCCCGUCCUGUGCUGCGCCUGCACAGGUUAGCCCUUCAGCGGUUGAUGGGACCGGGGGCUGUGGAGCAGGGGGCGGUGCCUGUCAGGGAGUCUCAGGCUGCAUGAGAGCCCACAGGGUGGGGGGCUCAGGCAUCGUGAGCUGCAGGUCCCCAGCCCUGCCCCAUGGGGAGGUGGCUCAGGCCCGGUGAGAAUUCAAGUGUGGGGCAGAUGGGCAGGCAGUGCUGG
rnacentral:lncRNA from 10 species